rnacentral:tRNA from 1 species
CGAGGUGGAGCAUGGCGGUCUGUGCGGCGCUCUGAUGAAGCGACGGCCCAGGUUCAACUCCUGGCACCUCGA